rnacentral:misc_RNA from 1 species
UUGAGAAUCAAGAGAGACUUCUCAUAAGAAGAUAAAAUCCUCUGUAUUAAAGAGUCCCUAGUUUCAACCGAAGAAGCCGUGUUCAAAUGUGCCCUCAACUGUUUAGCUAGCUCCAUCCCUUGGAUUAGCUCACUAAUCAGUGUCUUCUGCUCCAAGUUCCAACAACUAUCCAUCUUUUCUUUUUACACUUAUUCAAUCACUUACAAUGAGCAAUACAGAACCAGCCUAAUGUGCUUCAAAUACUGGGUUGCUUAGAAAGGAAAUCUUUCCCCCUAACAGCAAAAGGAGGAUCCAGAAGGAGUCGAAAAACCACAGUAGCAACAAAUAGCAUGGAAGUGGCCAGAAUUAUAAAGAAUAUCAAGUUCUUGAUUUUUGAUUGAAUAGUGUAGCUAGGAGCUAAGGAUUGAAG